rnacentral:rRNA from 1 species
GUUAGCGACAGAAGAAGCACCGGCUAACUCCGUGCCAGCAGCCGCGGUAAUACGGAGGGUGCGAGCGUUAAUCGGAAUUACUGGGCGUAAAGCGCAUGCAGGUGGUUCGUUAAGUCAGAUGUGAAAGCCCGGGGCUCAACCUCGGAACUGCAUUUGAAACUGGCGGACUAGAGUACUGUAGAGGGGGGUAGAAUUUCAGGUGUAGCGGUGAAAUGCGUAGAGAUCUGAAGGAAUACCAGUGGCGAAGGCGGCCCCCUGGACAGAUACUGACACUCAGAUGCGAAAGCGUGGGGAGCAAACAGGAUUAGAUACCCUGGUAGUCCACGCCGUAAACGAUGUCUACUUGGAGGUUGUGGCCUUGAGCCGUGGCUUUCGGAGCUAACGCGUUAAGUAGACCGCCUGGGGAGUACGGUCGCAAGAUUAAAACUCAAAUGAAUUGACGGGGGCCCGCACAAGCGGUGGAGCAUGUGGUUUAAUUCGAUGCAACGCGAAGAACCUUACCUACUCUUGACAUCCAGAGAACUUAGCAGAGAUGCUUUGGUGCCUUCGGGAACUCUGAGACAGGUGCUGCAUGGCUGUCGUCAGCUCGUGUUGUGAAAUGUUGGGUUAAGUCCCGCAACGAGCGCAACCCUUAUCCUUGUUUGCCAGCGAGUAAUGUCGGGAACUCCAGGGAGACUGCCGGUGAUAAACCGGAGGAAGGUGGGGACGACGUCAAGUCAUCAUGGCCCUUACGAGUAGGGCUACACACGUGCUACAAUGGCGCAUACAGAGGGCUGCCAACUUGCAAAAGUGAGCGAAUCCCAAAAAGUGCGUCGUAGUCCGGAUUGGAGUCUGCAACUCGACUCCAUGAAGUCGGAAUCGCUAGUAAUCGUAGAUCAGAAUGCUACGGUGAAUACGUUCCCGGGCCUUGUACACACCGCCCGUCACACCAUGGGAGUGGGCUGCAAAAGAAGUGGGUAGUUUAACCUUCGGGAGGACGCUCACCACUUUGUCUGUGCG